rnacentral:rRNA from 1 species
AUGUACAUCUCUAACAACCAAAUAAGUGGCAGCUUGCCAACACAUCUGGAUGGCAUGGCUUUCGAUCAGCUCUAUCUCAGUUCCAACUGGCUUACUGGACCAAUACCUACUUUGCCAAUAAAUAUCACCCUAUUAGACAUCUCCAACAAUACAUUUUCAGAAACAAUACCAUCAAACCUUGAAGCCUCACAACUUGAAGUAUUGUGUAUGCAUUCAAAUCAAAUUGGUGGCUACAUUCCAGAAUCCAUUUGCAAAUUGGAACAACUAAAGUAUCUGGAUUUGUCGAACAAUAAUUUGGAGGGUGGAAUUCCUCAAUGUCCUGACAUCCACAAUAUAGAAUAUCUAAUACUCAGCAACAACAGUUUAUCAGGAAAAAUUCCAGCACUUUUAGAGAACAACACACGUCUGCAGUUUUUGGAUCUGGCAUGGAAUAACUUCUCUGGAAGAUUGCCUACAUGGAUAUGGAAGCUGGCCAAUUUACGUUUUCUCAUACUGAGCCACAAUAAAUUUUCUGAUAGUAUUCCAGUCGACGUAACAAAGCUUGUGCGCCUUCAAUACUUGGAUUUAUCAGGCAAUAGGUUCUUUGGUGCAAUACCUUGUCAUCUGUCGAACCUAACAUUUAGGAGAACAUUACAAGAGGAAUACAUGGAUACGUAUGAUCUUCUCCUACAUGAUCCCAGUGAAUUUGCGAUCGGAAUUGGGCCUCAAGAACUAGGACAAAUAUUGUCAGUAAAUACAAAAGGCCAGCAUCUUAUAUAUCACAGGACACUUGAAUAUUUUGUGGGCAUUGAUUUAUCAUGCAACUCCUUGACUGGUGAAAUUCCUACAGACAUCACUUCACUUGAUGCACUAGUGAAUUUGAAUUUAUCAUCAAACCAGUUGAGUGGACAAAUUCCAAACAUGAUUGACGCCAUGCAGUCAUUAGAAUCACUCGACCUCUCUCAGAAUAAGCUUUCUGGUGAAAUCCCAUCGAGCUUGUCAAAUCUGACAUCUCUGAGCUACCUGGACCUGUCCUACAACAGUUUGUCUGGCAGGAUACCCUCUGGCCCCCAACUUGACACCCUCAGUGCUGAAAACCAGUCACUUAUGUACAUCGGCAACAGUGGACUUUGUGGGCCUCCUGUCCACAAGAAUUGUUCAGGAAAUGAUCCUUCCAUCCGUGGCGAUCUCGAAAGCAGCAAGGCAGAAUUUGAGCCAUUGACCUUUUAUUUUGGUCUUGUGCUGGGAUUUGUGGUGGGGCUUUGGAUGGUGUUUUGUGCACUGCUGUUCAAGAAGACAUGGAGAAUUGCUUGUUUCCGGCUCUUCGACGAGGUGUACGAUCAAGUCUAUGUAUUUGUGGUUGUGAAGUGGGCAAGCUUCGCAAAGAAAAUAGAUGAAGACUAA